rnacentral:rRNA from 1 species
AAGUCGAACGAACGGAGGAAGAGCUUGCUCUUCCAAAGUUAGUGGCGGACGGGUGAGUAACACGUGGGCAACCUGCCUGUAAGUUGGGGAUAACUCCGGGAAACCGGGGCUAAUACCGAAUGAUAGAAUGUGGCGCAUGCCACGCUUUUGAAAGAUGGUUUCGGCUAUCGCUUACAGAUGGGCCCGCGGUGCAUUAGCUAGUUGGUAGGGUAAUGGCCUACCAAGGCAACGAUGCAUAGCCGACCUGAGAGGGUGAUCGGCCACACUGGGACUGAGACACGGCCCAGACUCCUACGGGAGGCAGCAGUAGGGAAUCUUCCGCAAUGGACGAAAGUCUGACGGAGCAACGCCGCGUGUAUGAAGAAGGUUUUCGGAUCGUAAAGUACUGUUGUUAGAGAAGAACAAGGAUAAGAGUAACUGCUUGUCCCUUGACGGUAUCUAACCAGAAAGCCACGGCUAACUACGUGCCAGCAGCCGCGGUAAUACGUAGGUGGCAAGCGUUGUCCGGAUUUAUUGGGCGUAAAGCGCGCGCAGGCGGUCUUUUAAGUCUGAUGUGAAAGCCCCCGGCUUAACCGGGGAGGGUCAUUGGAAACUGGAAGACUGGAGUGCAGAAGAGGAGAGUGGAAUUCCACGUGUAGCGGUGAAAUGCGUAGAUAUGUGGAGGAACACCAGUGGCGAAGGCGACUCUCUGGUCUGUAACUGACGCUGAGGCGCGAAAGCGUGGGGAGCAAACAGGAUU